AGGCUUCUAGAUUCGCUCGCGGCAUGCGCUGAUUCUGAAUCUUCAACGAGGGUGUUUGCUUAACGCCGCUUCUUGCCAUCUGCGGAAGAACACUAUAAAAUUUGCAUUCGUCGCGAAUUUCAGUUAAGAUGGUUCAAUUAGCAACACACCUCAAACUAGCAAAAUUCUACUCCCUCCGUUGGGACGGAAGGAGUACUUCUUAAACAUAUAGCAGAGAUUUCUUCAGUCUGAAAUUUGACCCCCAAAAAAGUGCCGAUUCCUCAACCAUGUACCGCCUCUUUCAAAAUGCAUCAAACUAUUUAAACUGGUGCAGCUAAACAAUGUAAAAAUAAACCACAAAGGUGAACAAGAUGAGCUCUCUCCCACUCUAACCUGAUACAGUUUGGUGUAUUUCCCUUUCAACAAAGGAACCAGACCCCCCGCAAAAGGAAAAAAAAAACAAAGGAACCAGACUUUGUAUUGAUCUUCUUCUGUAGUACAGUAUUUCUCAGCAAAGAAAACAAAUAAUGGCAACGUUUGCAUCCUUUUACGUUUGGAUAUUGAACCCUGCGACACAGUUUUUUCAUUGGUUAAGUUAGCUAUAAGUAAAACAUCUACUAUACCAAAUUGCGGCAGAAGAACACAUACUAUAUGUACCUUGUGACACCAACUGACAGCCUAACUGGAUUGUUGACUGCACAAUGUGGUGAGAGAAGGUAACCCAAGUAACC
rnacentral:lncRNA from 1 species